UGCGAAGGGGGCUAGCGUUGCUCGGAAUCACUGGGCGUAAAGCGCACGUAGGCGGGCGAUCAAGUCAGGGGUGAAAUCCUCCGGCUCAACCGGAGAACUGCCUUUGAUACUGGUCAUCUCGGUGAGGUAGGGCGGAUGCGGAACUGAUGGUGGAGCGGUGAAAUGUGUUGAUAUCAUCAGGAACUCCGGUGGCGAAAGCGGCGUGCUGGACCUUUACUGACGCUGAUUGCGCGA
rnacentral:rRNA from 1 species